rnacentral:rRNA from 2 species
UGGGGGAUAUUGCACAAUGGGCGCAAGCCUGAUGCAGCGACGCCGCGUGAGGGAAGACGGUCUUCGGAUUGUAAACCUCUGUCAUCGGGGACGAUAAUGACGGUACCCGAGAAGGAAGCUCCGGCUAACUACGUGCCAGCAGCCGCGGUAAUACGUAGGGAGCAAGCGUUGUCCGGAAUUACUGGGUGUAAAGGGAGUGUAGGCGGGAGCGCAAGUUGAAUGUUAAAUCCAUCGGCUUAACUGGUGGUCGCGUUCAAAACUGCGUUUCUUGAGUGAAGUAGAGGUUGGCGGAAUUCCUAGUGUAGCGGUGAAAUGCGUAGAUAUUAGGAGGAACACCAGUGGCGAAGGCGGCCAACUGGGCUUUUACUGACGCUGAGGCUCGAAAGCGUGGGGAGCAAACAGG